rnacentral:rRNA from 1 species
GGACGGACGCUGGCGGCGUGCUUAACACAUGCAAGUCGAGCGGUAAGGCCCUUUCGGGGGUACGACGAGCGGCGAACGGGUGAGUAACACGUGGGUGACCUGCCCUCAGCUCUGGGAUAAGGCCUGGGAAACCGGGUCUAAUACUGGAUAUGACUCCGAUGGACGCAUGUUGUGGGGUGGAAAGCCUUGUGCGGCUGAGGAUGGGCCCGCGGCCUAUCAGCUUGUUGGUGGGGUGAUGGCCUACCAAGGCGACGACGGGUAGCCGGCCUGAGA